rnacentral:rRNA from 1 species
GAUGAACGCUGGCGGCGUGCCUAAUACAUGCAAGUCGAGCGAACGGACGAGAAGCUUGCUUCUCUGAUGUUAGCGGCGGACGGGUGAGUAACACGUGGAUAACCUACCUAUAAGACUGGGAUAACUUCGGGAAACCGUAGCUAAUACCGGAUAAUAUUUUGAACCGCAUGGUUCAAAAGUGAAAGACGGUCUUGCUGUCACUUAUAGAUGGAUCCGCGCUGCAUUAGCUAGUUGGUAAGGUAACGGCUUACCAAGGCAACGAUGCAUAGCCGACCUGAGAGGGUGAUCGGCCACACUGGAACUGAGACACGGUCCAGACUCCUACGGGAGGCAGCAGUAGGGAAUCUUCCGCAAUGGGCGAAAGCCUGACGGAGCAACGCCGCGUGAGUGAUGAAGGUCUUCGGAUCGUAAAAUUCUGUUAUUAGGGAAGAACAGAUGUGUAAGUAACUGUGCACAUCUUGACGGUACCUAAUCAGAAAGCCACGGCUAACUACGUG